rnacentral:lncRNA from 1 species
GCCGCGGCUCAAUAGGCUAGUCCUCCUCCUGCGGCACCGGCACCACGGGUUCUAGUCCCAGUCAGGGUGCCAGAUUCUGUCCCGGUUGCCCCUCUUCCAGGCCAGCUCUCUGCUGUGGCCCAGGAAGGCAGUGGAGGAUGGCCCAAGUACUUGGGUCCUGCACCCACAUGGGAGACCAGAAGCACCUGGCUCCUGGCUUCGGAUCAGCCCGGUGCUCUGGCCACAGCACGCCGGCCGCAGCAGCUACUGGGGAGUGAAACAACAGAAAAGGAAGACCUUUCUCUCUGUCUCUCUCUCACUGUCCACUCUGCCUUUCAAAAAAAAUAAAAAAAAAAAAUAAAUAAACACAAAAGACAUCACCACCUGCUGGGGACAAAACAGUAGUGCACGAUUUUAGAAAAUAGCCACAGAAUCACGUGAUCAGCAGGAAGCGCAAGUUCAUAUCUCAGCCACCAGAGGGAGCUUUACCUACAAGAUGCAUGUCCUUUGUGUCCCAGAUCUCCAAGGGGGAGAUCUCAGACUCUUCUUUCUUAGUUACGUUGUUAGGAAUGGACCUGGGUUCAACCAAUUUAAUUUGAGCUGCUGCCUUCGCAGGAAUGGAAAACAACGAGUCAAUUGCCUGGUUAUCUUUCUAGCGGUGAAGCCUCACAGAUUCACAAUUCCUCCUCUCUGAGCCCCGUUAGAUCACCGCGUCGUGCAAGAGAAAUGCCUCUGCUGUCACGUGCCCUCUAAGGGUGAAAAAUGUAACGGCCGUGGUUGAGGUCGGCAUUCGGAAGGCAUCGUGCCAUCCUCACACAAGCACUGCACAUCCCUUCCCUUACUUUAUAAUUCUGAGAGGUAGGAUGUCGUCACUGUGUCAUAAAUGAUGAUUGCGUCGCCUUGUUCCUGGAAGCAGCAAGCAAACAGAACGCUUUCUUGCCUUGGCAAUUUCUGUAAUUGUACACACAGCAUUACUAGGGCUGCGGCUAGAAUUCCCUUGUAGGGAUUGCACCCAUGCUACCAGCAUCUACGCAAGCAUGCCUGGGAGCGAGUCGGCACCGGAGCACCAGCCCAGGAGCAGAAUUGGUGACUCUUCAGGAAGCCUUUGCAUUUUCUUUAUGUGAUGUUUUCUAUACUCGUCGUAAUAUUGUGCCAUUUUUACCAGCUAGUUAAGAUCUCCUUGUAUAAACAGUAGCAGAAUAUAUUCAUGUCAAAGAUAAUCACUCCUAUAAACGGUUUCUUUGUCAGGUAUUCAUUAAAGUAGGUUUCACAUCAAAAUGAUAGUCACUAAUAUAGGGCAAAC